rnacentral:rRNA from 1 species
UACGGGGGGGGCAAGCGUUGUUCGGAAUUACUGGGCGUAAAGGGCUCGUAGGCGGCCAACUAAGUCAGACGUGAAAUCCCUCGGCUUAACCGGGGAACUGCGUCUGAUACUGGAUGGCUUGAGUUUGGGAGAGGGAUGCGGAAUUCCGGGUGUAGCGGUGAAAUGCGUAGAUAUCUGGAGGAACACCGGUGGCGAAGGCGGCAUCCUGGACCAACACUGACGCUGGGUGAGCGAAAGCGUGGGGAGCAAACAGG